rnacentral:rRNA from 1 species
UACGAAGGGGGCUAGCGUUGCUCGGAAUCACUGGGCGUAAAGGGUGCGUAGGCGGCCACUUAAGUCGGAUGUGAAAGCCCCUGGCUCAACUGGGGAAGUGCACCCGAAACUGAAUGGCUUGAAUACAAAAGAGGGUCGCGGAAUUCCCGGUGUAGAGGUGAAAUUCGUAGAUAUCGGGAGGAACACCGGUGGCGAAGGCGGCGACCUGGGUUGAUAUUGACGCUGAGGCGCGAAAGCGUGGGGAGCAAACAGG